CUCCUGGAAACGGGUGGUAAUGCCGGAUGCUCCGACCCCUCGCAUGGGGUGUCGGGAAAGAUUUCAUCGGUAUGGGAUGGGGUCGCGUCCUAUCAGGUAGUCGGCGGGGUAACGGCCCACCGAGCCUACGACGGGUAGCCGGCCUGAGAGGGCGACCGGCCACAUUGGGACUGAGAUACGGCCCAGACUCCUACGGGAGGCAGCAGUGGGGAAUAUUGCACAAUGGGCGCAAGCCUGAUGCAGCGACGCCGCGUGCGGGAUGACGGCCUUCGGGUUGUAAACCGCUUUUGAUCGGGAGCAAGCCUUCGGGUGAGUGUACCUUUCGAAUAAGCACCGGCUAACUACGUGCCAGCAGCCGCGGUAAUACGUAGGGUGCAAGCGUUAUCCGGAAUUAUUGGGCGUAAAGGGCUCGUAGGCGGUUCGUCGCGUCCGGUGUGAAAGUCCAUCGCUUAACGGUGGAUCUGCGCCGGGUACGGGCGGGCUGGAGUGCGGUAGGGGAGACUGGAAUUCCCGGUGUAACGGUGGAAUGUGUAGAUAUCGGGAAGAACACC
rnacentral:rRNA from 1 species